AAACUCUUGCAUCCAGUACACCCUCAGCGUGG
rnacentral:piRNA from 1 species